ensembl:lncRNA
AUGACCUUCUCUCCCCAGGACUCAGUCAUCAUUCUCUGCUUUAAAACUUGGCUGCCAUGGAGACAGAAUCAACUCUCACCCUGGGAAAGACACCUUCCUGGGCAGCGGAGGAACAGAUCAGGGAGUGGACAGUGUGACGAAGUCAGCAGUGAGGAGGAGAUUUGGGACUCGGAACCCCAAGYGAGCGGAGGCUCCUGGUCACAGCUGUGGUGGCAGCGCCCGUGUUCGAGCAGGGGUCAAGGCUUCAGGCACAGGCUGGUGCCUAGCAAAAACCAUCGCCUGUCUGCAGGCUGCUCGCCUCCCCUCUGUGAGGCCCAUGGACCACAGGCACCAAGCACAAAGUGGAAGAGGGAAGCCCAGUGCUUGGAAACAGAUGCCUGUCAACCACCUGCAAAAGUUGAACUCAUCACACAAGUAUCUGUGACUGACUCUUGCAGUACGAGAGUCUGGGAGAUGAUGGGUAAGGAUCAAAUCUUAUUAAUACUUCUAUGCAAGUUUCUUUCCAGUUCCUUCCUCCUUACAAUGGCCCAAGAACAGACUAGCCUCACAUAA